UUUCGACAAGUAAUUCCGACCGGA
rnacentral:miRNA from 1 species